rnacentral:rRNA from 1 species
GACGAACGCUGGCGGCGUGCUUAACACAUGCAAGUGGAGCGACGAACCAGGGCUUGCCCUGGGGCAGAGCCGCGAACGGGUGAGUAACACGUGGGCAACCUGCCCCGAUGACUGGGACAACCCGAGGAAACUCGGGCUAAUACCGGAUGUGCUCCCUCACAUCAGUGAGACGAGUAAAGGAAGCUUCGGCCUCCGCAUCGGGAUGGGCCCGCGGCCCAUUAGCUUGUUGGUGGGGUAAUGGCCUACCAAGGCAACGAUGGGUAGCUGGUCUGAGAGGACGAUCAGCCACACUGGGACUGAGACACGGCCCAGACUCCUACGGGAGGCAG